rnacentral:rRNA from 1 species
GGGAAUCUGCCCUUGGGUUCGGAAUAACAGUUAGAAAUGACUGCUAAUACCGGAUGAUGUCUUCGGACCAAAGAUUUAUCGCCCAGGGAUGAGCCCGCGUAGGAUUAGGUAGUUGGUGGGGUAAUGGCCCACCAAGCCGACGAUCCUUAGCUGGUCUGAGAGGAUGAUCAGCCACACUGGGACUGAGACACGGCCCAGACUCCUACGGGAGGCAGCAGUGGGGAAUAUUGGACAAUGGGCGAAAGCCUGAUCCAGCAAUGCCGCGUGAGUGAUGAAGGCCUUAGGGUUGUAAAGCUCUUUUACCCGGGAUGAUAAUGACAGUACCGGGAGAAUAAGCUCCGGCUAACUCCGUGCCAGCAGCCGCGGUAAUACGGAGGGAGCUAGCGUUGUUCGGAAUUACUGGGCGUAAAGCGUGCGUAGGCGGUUAUUCAAGUCAGAGGUGAAAGCCCGGGGCUCAACCCCGGAACUGCCUUUGAAACUAGAUAGCUAGAAUCUUGGAGAGGUCAGUGGAAUUCCGAGU